rnacentral:rRNA from 1 species
UACGUAGGGUGCGAGCGUUGUCCGGAAUUACUGGGCGUAAAGAGCUCGUAGGUGGUUUGUCGCGUUGUUCGUGAAAACUCACAGCUUAACUGUGGGCGUGCGGGCGAUACGGGCAGACUGGAGUACUGCAGGGGAGACUGGAAUUCCUGGUGUAGCGGUGGAAUGCGCAGAUAUCAGGAGGAACACCGGUGGCGAAGGCGGGUCUCGUGGGCCGAUACUGACGCUGAGGAGCGAAAGCGUGGGGAGCGAACAGG